GGAAAAGUAUGGUCAUACACAGUCACUGUCACAUUACGGAACAACUCCCUGGCGUGGUUAUGGCGUGGGGGCUUGACGGGGGCUCAGAGUGUCCCUUGAGCUGUCAGACACCCCACCGGUGUUGAUAGCUACGAAGAUGGCUUCCUUGUGUGGAGAAACAUCGGGUUCCAUUGCUCUACAAAGUGAAGAGACCUGGGUGUGCCAUCGUCGAAGAAUGAAGAAUUUUGAAUAUAUACGUCUGAAUUCUUACAAAGAGUGCUUUAUACACUUCUCACUACAAAACUUGAUAUGAAAAACAAAGAGUCGAAUGCUAAUGUCCUUAAAUUUGUUAAAGAGAUAGAUGUGUAUGUCAAGAACAUGAGUGAAAUUAUUGCAGAUCCGAUGUUUUCAGAUCAGAAACGGAAGCCUGGGGGAUUCUGCAGUGUGUAUUCCAAAAUACAGCAUGUUUUGCACAGAACCUGUGGUAACACCAUCCCACUGAUUACUCAGGCAAAUUUUUUUCCUCUGCUAGAUAGAAUUGCCCAGUGCGGUUCGCAUGGCUUUAGACACGGGGAGUGGAAGGGGGUUAUGAAUGCUUUUUCAGAUGCCUCAAAGUUUCUCAGCAAUGUUGGGGUGGUGGUUACGUGUACCGAACUAAUUUUCCACACCAACAUUUAAUUGUUGAUUGCAAACAGAAGCCGGUAACGCGUUUGUACUGAGAUGUUCCUGUGUUUGAAAACCUACCGUUGAAAUAAAGUGGUUCACAUUUCACAUGCUUGCAAACAGGAGACUGUAACUUGCAUGAAAAGUGUGUACUGUGAUGUUUCUGUGUUCGAAAACCUACU